GCCGGGCAUGGUGGCAUGUGCCUGUAGUCCCAGCUACUCGGGAGGCUGAGGUGGGAGGAUGGUUUGAGCCCAGGAGUUCUGGGCUGUAGUGCGCUAUGCCGAUCGGGUGUUCACACUAAGUUCGGCAUCAAUAUGGUGACCUCCCUGGAGCGGGGAACCACCAGGUUGCCUAAGGAGGGGUGAACUAGCCCAGGUCGGAAACAGAGCAGGUUAAAACUCCCGUGCUGAUCAGUAGUGGGAUUCUCACCUGUGAAUAGCCACUGCACUCUAGCCUGGGCAACAUAGGAGACCCUGUCUCU
rnacentral:SRP_RNA from 1 species